UUUUGACAUUCAAUCUUUUAACGACAGAUGUUGCGAGCAAUGUACAUUAAAAGGACGAGAGCCGCCGCGCCCGUUGCUGGGGACGUAGUAGGGCGCGUUUGGUUGGGCCACCCCAUUAUGUGGAUUUUGAUCCUGUCCAUCAUUCCGAUGGCUGCGGUGCCCAGCUGCAUUGGCCUCUUCUUGGGUGGAUCCUAAGCCCGGCACGAUCAGCUGCUGAUCUUUUGGUCACAAAGAAGAUGCAGAUGAAGCCCUGCGCAGGAGAACAAGUCAGAUCAAUUUCUGCAACAAUAUCAACUAAUAAAAAAGUGGUUCUAGCAUUGUGAUGAUUUCCUCUUCGGUUCGUUUGAUGUCCAUUCCGAACCGGGUUUCUCCAGGUUCGGGGACUAGUUCAACUGAAAACAACCAUUGAGCGCUUGUGUUA